ACGGAAACGUCGUCCGUUGCAGAAUUCUUGCAGAUCUCGUCCCUUCCACAUGUGUGGUACAUGUCCAGGCUUUCAUGUCAGAAUUUCUGUUUCAUCUUUGGAAAGUUCUGCAAAGAUACGACCAGAUUCCACAAAGAGAAUUCACACUAGCAUAUCACAGGUAAUGCCGGUUUUCUUUUUUGAAUUAACCAUAAGGCCAAAAAGAAAAAAAAAAAAAAA